GAUGAACGCCGGCGGUGUGCCUAAUACAUGCAAGUCGUACGCGCUGGCCCAACUGAUUGAUGGUGCUUGCACCUGAUUGACGAUGGAUCACCAGUGAGUGGCGGACGGGUGAGUAACACGUAGGUAACUUGCCCCGGAGCGGGGGAUAACAUUUGGAAACAGAUGCUAAUACCGCAUAACAACAAAAGCCACAUGGCUUUUGUUUGAAAGAUGGCUUUGGCUAUCACUCUGGGAUGGACCUGCGGUGCAUUAGCUAGUUGGCGGGGUAACGGCUUACCAAGGCGAUGAUGCAUGGCCGAGUUGAGAGACUGAUCGGCCACAAUGGAACUGAGACACGGUCCAU
rnacentral:rRNA from 1 species